rnacentral:rRNA from 1 species
AUUGAACGCUGGCGGCAUGCCUAACACAUCCAAGUCGACCGGCAGCAGGGGUUUUUCCACCUGGUGGGAAGUGGCAAACGGAGGAUUAUUCAAUCGGAACAGGUCCGGAAGUGGGGAAAGGCCCGCCAAAACCCGAAUAAUUACGCCAAACAAUAUCCGGAUGAAAGCGGGGGACCUCCGGGCCGCCCACCUUGGGGUUGGCGGAGGGCUGUUUAGCUGGUUGGUGGGGUAAAGGCUUACCAAGGCGACGAUCAGUAGCUGGUCGGAGAGGACGACCAGCCACACUGGGACUGAGACACGGCCCAGACUCCUACGGGAGGCAGCAGUGGGGAAUUUUGGACAAUGGGAGAAAGCCUGAUCCAGCAAUGCCGCGUGUGUGAAGAAGGCCUUCGGGUUGUAAAGCACUUUUGUCCGGAAAGAAAUCCUUGGCCCUAAUACGGUCGGGGGAUGACGGUACCGGAAGAAUAAGCACCGGCUAACUACGUG